CCACGCUGUAAACGAUGUCGACUUGGAGGUUGUGCCCUNGAGGCGUGGCUUCCGGAGCUAACGCGUUAAGUCGACCGCCUGGGGAGUACGGCCGCAAGGUUAAAACUCAAAUGAAUUGACGGGGGCCCGCACAAGCGGUGGAGCAUGUGGUUUAAUUCAAUGCAACGCGAAGAACCUUACCUACUCUUGACAUCCACGGAACUUGCCAGAGAUGGCUUGGUGCCUUCGGGAACCGUGAGACAGGUGCUGCAUGGCUGUCGUCAGCUCGUGUUGUGAAAUGUUGGGUUAAGUCCCGCAACGAGCGCAACCCUUAUCCUUUGUUGCCAGCACUUCGGGUGGGAACUCAAAGGAGGCUGCCGGUGAUAAACCGGAGGAAGGUGGGGAUGACGUCAAGUCAUCAUGGCCCUUACGAGUAGGGCUACACACGUGCUACAAUGGCGUAUACAAAGAGAAGCAAACUCGCGAGAGCCAGCGGACCUCAUAAAGUACGUCGUAGUCCGGAUUGGAGUCUGCAACUCGACUCCAUGAAGUCGGAAUCGCUAGUAAUCGUAGAUCAGAAUGCUACGGUGAAUACGUUCCCGGGCCUUGUACACACCGCCCGUCACAUCAUGGGAGUGGGUUGCAAAAGAAGUAGGUAACUUAACCUUCGGGAGGGCGCUUACCACUUUGUGAUUCAUGACUGGGGUG
rnacentral:rRNA from 1 species